UGGCUAAGUAGCUAGUGCACACCUUAAAGGUCUUAGGUUCAAGCCAUUUCUCUCCCUUUUUUUUUCUUUUUUUUGCUUAGGUUUGAGUCACCCUAUUUUCAUUGUUUUUGUUUUUUUCCUUCUUAUUUUUGGCCCGAAAUGUUGGAUUAUUUACCCAUGCUUCCCCUAGGGUUUCAAACCCUAACUAUUUAAUCAAUCUUCUUCCAAUUGAAUUAGGUUUUCUUUCUUUUCCAAAUCCUAAAUAGAUUUCUCUUCAUCUAUUCUAUUUCUUCUCCAUUUUCUUUUUCAUCCUCUUCUGUGCAUCAAAUUUUCAUUCUAUUGCUGAGAAUUAUUUUUGUUUUCC
rnacentral:lncRNA from 1 species